rnacentral:lncRNA from 10 species
GUCACCAGAGCUCAUAAAAGAUGUGUGUGCUGUCGCAUCUAUGUGAAGUAUUUCCAUGACCCGAGCAUUGACCACAGGACUGUGCUGGAGGAAACUGGAUCAAGGUACCAAGACAGAUACAGGAGGGUCUCCAGAAACCCUAGAGCUGAAUGGAACCCGUCUGGAAAACAUACACUGGAAACUAGGCCGAGGAUUAUCCAAAGGGUGGUUGAAAUCAAGGGUUAAAGUUUGGCUCAAGAUAAGGAAGAAUCUUCUAAUAAUUAAAACUGACCAUCCAAAAGGUAA